rnacentral:rRNA from 1 species
AAGCGCAUGUGCUGUGAGCUCGAUGAGUAGGGCGGGACACGUGGUAUCCUGUCUGAAUAUGGGGGGACCAUCCUCCAAGGCUAAAUACUCCUGACUGACCGAUAGUGAACCAGUACCGUGAGGGAAAGGCGAAAAGAACCCCGGCGAGGGGAGUGAAAAAGAACCUGAAACCGUGUACGUACAAGCAGUGGGAGCACAGGUUUACCUGUGUGACUGCGUACCUUUUGUAUAAUGGGUCAGCGACUUAUAUUCUGUAGCAAGGUUAACCGUAUAGGGGAGCCGAAGGGAAACCGAGUCUUAACCGGGCGUUAAGUUGCAGGGUAUAGACCCGAAACCCGGUGAUCUAGCCAUGGGCAGGUUGAAGGUUGGGUAACACUAACUGGAGGACCGAACCGACUAAUGUUGAAAAAUUAGCGGAUGACCUGUGGCUGGGGGUGAAAGGCCAAUCAAACCGGGAGAUAGCUGGUUCUCCCCGAAAGCUAUUUAGGUAGCGCCUCGUGAAUUCAUCUCCGGGGGUAGAGCACUGUUUCGGCUAGGGGGCCAUCCCGGCUUACCAACCCGAUGCAAACUGCGAAUACCGGAGAAUGUUAUCACGGGAGACACACGGCGGGUGCUAACGUCCGUCGUGAAGAGGGAAACAACCCAGACCGCCAGCUAAGGUCCCAAAGUCAUGGUUAAGUGGGAAACGAUGUGGGAAGGCCCAGACAGCCAGGAUGUUGGCUUAGAAGCAGCCAUCAUUUAAAGAAAGCGUAAUAGCUCACUGGUCGAGUCGGCCUGCGCGGAAGAUGUAACGGGGCUAAACCAU